rnacentral:lncRNA from 1 species
UUUCAACUGUUUUCUUCAUCCAUUCCAUACAAAGACAGAUAUGCUGAGAAAGCAGUGCAGAUACAGAGCCAAUAAGGCACUAAUCCUUCUGUAGAAGAUCAAGAAAUUAUUUUCAAAGGUUGAGCAAACAGCCUUCUGUAGUACUCAUGACACUGGGAGGAAAAAAGGAAAUUCUACCAUUACCCAACGUGCAAAAAUUGACCACUGGCAAAAUGACUGUCACUUGUGUGACUUCCUUAACCCACAUGAAACAACAGGACAGAGCAGUUCCAUCAAAGAUCAAGCAACGGAGCUCUCUAAGCUGCAACCGGCCAGGAGAGACAAGCACCUUGAAGCUCCGGGGCAGUCCAGGGCCACUCCCACGGCAAGAUUAUGGUUGCCUCUGGAAAGAAUUACGUUACCUGUUGAGCUCUUGAAGUAUUUGAGUUGGGAAGAUUAGAGAUCAGAAGAAGUAGAUACCACACAUCACCAGGAAAAUUCUGCAGGUGGAAAUGAUGAGAGAUAGCUCUAAAAGUUAUACUUAUUUUGAUUUUAUAAACCACCUUGUAGAGUGAAAUGGUAUGUGUAGAAUGUCAUCGAAAGCAUUUAGAGCCACCUUCAGAAAAAUGAGAAACUUCUAACUCUGGAGGGCUCUGGAAGGAAGAUCAUUGGUCUUUGAAACUUCAGUGCCAUGCUGACCCACACAGAAUCCUCCAGAGCCCUCCCCAGUUCAUGUUGUCCCUCCAAAUAACAGCGGAGGAGUGGAAAAGGUACAGCACAAAGAUGGAAAAGCACAGAAAUCUCCACCACACCAGGAGCUUUGAGGAGACCCUGCAUUCUGCUGCUCUGGCUCUGUGGGAAAUGAGGAAAGUAUCUCAUUUCAUGACUGUGUUUUAACAUGAAAAAUGACCCAUAUUCUUUCUCCAUUAAACUGUUAGUACAUCCUAGCAUCAUGGGUUUUAA